rnacentral:rRNA from 1 species
AAUAGAUACCCAGGUAGUCCACGCCGUAAACGAUGAGUGCUAAGUGUUAGGGGGUUUCCACCCCUUAGUGCUGCAGCUAACGCAUUAAGCACUCCGCCUGGGGAGUACGGUCGCAAGACUGAAACUCAAAGGAAUUGACGGGGGCCCGCACAAGCGGUGGAGCAUGUGGUUUAAUUCGAAGCAACGCGAAGAACCUUACCAGGUCUUGACAUCCCGCUGACCGCUAUGGAGACAUAGCCUUCCCUUCGGGGACAGCGGUGACAGGUGGUGCAUGGUUGUCGUCAGCUCGUGUCGUGAGAUGUUGGGUUAAGUCCCGCAACGAGCGCAACCCUUGUCCUUAGUUGCCAUCAUUCAGUUGGGCACUCUAAGGAGACUGCCGUACAAAUACGGAGGAAGGUGGGGAUGACGUCAAAUCAUCAUGCCCCUUAUGACCUGGGCUACACACGUGCUACAAUGGACGGUACAAACGGUCGCGAAGUCGCGAGACGGAGCCAAUCCGAAAAAACCCGUUCUCAGUUCGGAUUGCAGG